UGAUGUAUAAACACAAUGGGGUCUAGUGAUGUAUAAACACAAUGGGGUCUAGUGACAGUCAACCUUCUCCCUGUAGUGAUGUAUAAACACAAUGGGGUCUAGUGAUGUAUAAACACAAUGGGGUCUAGUGACGGUCAACCUUGUCCCUGUAGGGAUGUAUAAACACAAUGGGGUCUAGUGAUGUAUAAACACAAUGGGGUCUAGUGAUGUAUAAACACAAUGGGGUCUAGUGACAGUCAACCUUGUCCCUGUAGGGAUGUAUAAACACAAUGGGGUCUAGUGACAGUCAACCUUGUCCCUGUAGGGAUGUAUAAACACAAUGGGGUCUAGUGACAGUCAACCUUCUCCCUGUAGGGAUGUAUAAA